rnacentral:rRNA from 1 species
GACGAACGCUGGCGGCGUGCUUAACACAUGCAAGUCGAGCGGUAAGGCCCUUUCGGGGGUACACGAGCGGCGAACGGGUGAGUAACACGUGGGUGACCUGCCCUCAGCUCUGGGAUAAGCCUGGGAAACCGGGUCUAAUACCGGAUAUGACUCCAUGACGCAUGUUGUGGGGUGGAAAGCCUUGUGCGGCUGAGGAUGGGCCCGCGGCCUAUCAGCUUGUUGGUGGGGUGANGGCCUACCAAGGCGACGACGGGUAGCCGGCCUGAGAGGGCGACCGGCCACACUGGGACUGAGACACGGCCCAGACUCCUACGGGAGGCAGCAGUGGGGAAUCUUGCGCAAUGGGCGAAAAGCCUGACGCAGCGACGCCGCGUGAGGGAUGACGGCCU